ensembl:lncRNA
ACAAGACUCAUGGACAUGGGAGGACGAGUUGGACGGAAAAGGACCCUGGGCAGAGCCAGGGGAAUAUCGCCGCCCCAAAGCAGAGCUGGAGGCAGCGAAAGCAGAGAGGCAGCAUUACUAGGAGCUGGCACGGCAGCGCGGCUCGAAGCCCAAGAGGCAGCCCCAAAAAUGUAUUGGGGGGUCGCACAGGGAGAGUGUGGCAGAGUCAGGAGUCAGACCUGAGCCAAUUCCCCAUGUUUACCGUAAGGAACCAGAGCCGGUCAGGGCGGUGUUGGAGGUGAGCGAAGCAGAGACAGUGAACGAGUUAAUGGGGAAAUUGGAGGAGAGAGUUAUGAGGGAGGUGCUGUGUUUGUGCAUGAGGCACAACAUUCGCCCAACGGAGCGUGUCGGGGAUUAGAUGGCACCUGGGUCAGCUCUCCAUACUCGCCCUGAGGUGCUUGCUAGUCGUCUGGUGAAGACUGUGCCAGCCUCACGCACCAGGCCUCCGUGUUAUGCGGUGGAACGCACGGUGUCCCCAGUACGCGUGCUUAGCCCGGCGCGCUACAUCCCAGCUCCCCACAUCUGCCGGGCUAUGGUGAAGAUCCAGCCAGGAUGGAUGGUGCCAGCCCUGCUCUCAAAAUCUCCAGUGUGCCUUCACGGUCCGGUCUAUCCAGUGCCACCUCCACGCACCAGCCCUCCGGUGGCAGCCCCCCGCACCAGGCUGUCUCUCCGUCCUUUGUCUACAGAGUCUCCCGCCUGUCCAGAGCUGCUAGAGUCUCCCGCCUGUCCAGAGCUGCUAGAGUCUCCCGCCUGUCCAGAGCUGCUAGAGCUGCCAGUCUGUCCUGAGCCGUCAGUCAGCCAGGACCUGCCAGAGCCGUCAGCCAGCCAGGAGCUGCCAGUCUGUCCUGAGCCAUCAGUCAGCCAGGACCUGCCAAAGCCGUCAGCCAGCCAGGACCUGCCAGAGCCGUCAGCCGGUCCUGAGCUACCCUUCAGUCCUGAGCUACCCCUCAGUCCCAAGCUGCCCCUCAGUCCCGAGCUGCCCCUCAGACCAGUGGGGCCCUUUAGUAGGGUUGCCAGUCCAAGGUCGGUGGCGAGGGUUGCCGUUCCUAGGAGGACACUAAAGAGG